AAAACAAUUUGAUUAAAAAAAUAUGGUGUUUUCAGAGGGAUAUAUUUUGUGGAAGAAUUCCAGAGGAGUUUAUUUCUUUAUCUGCGUGAUAAUGUGAUUUUAGUGUGGUAACAAGUGUUUGAAUUUGUGUGUGAACCUGUUCGAUAUCGUGAGGCGCGCAGUAUGUGUGUCGCUGUGCGUGUCGCCCUGUGUCACCGAGUGUCAUUGUGUGUCACCGCGCGCUCGUUCUCGUGUCAAAGUCACUGACUCAUCUCGUUGACACUUACUGUGUGUGUCAAGUGUGUAGAACACAGAAAUGUCAUUUCCCUGAGGCAAUAGGGGGAUGGAAAGCCAUAGACACGGCUUUGGUCUUUCUUACUUAGGUGAAGUGGAAAGUGGAGAAAUUAAGUGGUGCUGUUGUGGUGAACAUGUUUUUGGUCAGCUGUGGUUUUGAUUUGAGUGCAUUAUUCACUGGAUGUAGCUGAAUUGUGAACAUGCCUAACUUUUUUGGAGUAUCAAAUUGAGAGGUCGAGGAAGGAAUAAAAGGGAAGGAGAAAGAUAGAGGGACGGAGGAAGAAAGAGAAAGAAUGAGUUAUUGAGGUGGAAGUAUUUUUGGUCAGUUGUGGUGUUGAUUUGCGUGCAUUAUUCAUUGGAUGUAGAUGUUUUUUUGGUGAUGACAAACUUUUUUGUGGAUUAUAGAAUCGACAGGUCAACGUCGGAAUAAGAGGGAAGGAGAAAGAAAGAGAACGAGAAAGAGGGGAGGAGAAAGAAAGAGAGCGAGAAAGAGGGUAGGAGAAAGAAAGA
rnacentral:lncRNA from 1 species